rnacentral:rRNA from 1 species
AGCGAACGCUGGCGGCAGGCUUAACACAUGCAAGUCGAGCGGGCGUAGCAAUACGUCAGCGGCAGACGGGUGAGUAACGCGUGGGAACGUACCUUUUGGUUCGGAACAACGCAGGGAAACUCGUGCUAAUACCGGAUAAGCCCUUACGGGGAAAGAUUUAUCGCCGAAAGAUCGGCCCGCGUCUGAUUAGCUAGUUGGUAGGGUAAUGGCCUACCAAGGCGACGAUCAGUAGCUGGUCUGAGAGGAUGAUCAGCCACAUUGGGACUGAGACACGGCCCAAACUCCUACGGGAGGCAGCAGUGGGGAAUAUUGGACAAUGGGGGCAACCCUGAUCCAGCCAUGCCGCGUGAGUGAUGAAGGCCCUAGGGUUGUAAAGCUCUUUUGUGCGGGAAGAUAAUGACGGUACCGCAAGAAUAAGCCCCGGCUAACUUCAUGCCAGCCGCCGCCGUAA